rnacentral:misc_RNA from 1 species
UCAAACUUGGUCAUUUAGAGGAAGUAAAAGUCGUAACAAGGUUUCCGUAGGUGAACCUGCGGAAGGAUCAUUACCGAGUUAGGGUCUCUACAGGCCCGACCUCCCAACCCUUUGUUUACUCGAACCACUGUUGCUUCGGCGGGCCCGUCCUCUCUCGCGGGAGGACCGCCGGGGGACUCGCGUGUUCCCUGGCCCGUUGCCCGCCGACGGCCAACCCUUCAAACUCCGAUUAAACAUGUCCAUGUCUGAAAUACUUUAUGCAAAUUAAAAGCAAAACUUUCAACAACGGAUCUCUUGGUUCUGGCAUCGAUGAAGAACGCAGC